rnacentral:rRNA from 1 species
AUUCCAGCUCCAAUAGCGUAUAUUAAAGUUGUUGCAGUUAAAAAGCUCGUAGUUGGAUUUGUGGUGCCGCCUGCAGUCCAAUUAGCUUUGGUGCUAGCGGGUGGUGCCAUCUUUGGGUGGAACCUGUAGGGCAUUAGCUUGUUUUGCAGGGGAUAUCCAUCGUUUACUGUGAAAAAAUUAGAGUGUUCAAAGCAGGCUUACGCCGAUGAAUAUACUAGCAUGGAAUAAUGAAAUAGGACUUUGGUACUAUUUUGUUGGUUUGCGCGCCAAAGUAAUGAUUAAUAGGGACAGUUGGGGGUAUUCGUAUUCCAUAGUCAGAGGUGAAAUUCUUGGAUUUUUGGAAGACGAACUACUGCGAAAGCAUUUACCAAGGAUGUU